GCACGUAAUAGAAUAUUCACUAAAUAUUUAUUGAAUGAACAAAUAAAUUGGAAAGCCAUGGAGACUUCAGAAUCAUCAGGAGAAUUUCCAAGGAGGCUGAAAUGAACAUUUUUGCAGUUUGGAUGAAGAUCUUUUUGAGAACACAUCUGGCACUGAAUGACAUUUCUCUGAGUAAAAAAAGAAGACCAGAAGGAAGAUCUACGUGAGAAUAUGAAUAAAGAAUCUGUAACAAGUAACAAACAGCAAAGGAAUAGAGGACAUUCUGCCCCACUUCUUGACACUGGAAAUAGCCAUGAGAUUUGAUUUGACCAAUGGAAUACUAUUACCAAACAUGAUGUAAGUAUAAUGUCUCACUUAUCUGUUGCUGUAUAAGGAAUCAUCCCAAAACAUAGUGACUUAAAACAAAAAUCAUUUGAU
rnacentral:lncRNA from 1 species